GAUGAACGCUGGCGGCGUGCCUAAUACAUGCAAGUCGAGCGAACAGACGAGGAGCUUGCUCCUCUGACGUUAGCGGCGGACGGGUGAGUAACACGUGGAUAACCUACCUAUAAGACUGGGAUAACUUCGGGAAACCGGAGCUAAUACCGGAUAAUAUAUUGAACCGCAUGGUUCAAUAGUGAAAGACGGUUUUGCUGUCACUUAUAGAUGGAUCCGCGCCGCAUUAGCUAGUUGGUAAGGUAACGGCUUACCAAGGCAACGAUGCGUAGCCGACCUGAGAGGGUGAUCGGCCACACUGGAACUGCGCCACGGUCCAGACUCCUACGGGAGGCAGCAGUAGGGAAUCUUCCGCAAUGGGCGAAAGCUUGACGGAGCAACGCCGCGUGAGUGAUGAAGGUCUUCGGAUCGUAAAACUCUGUUAUUAGGGAAGAACAAAUGUGUAAGUAACUAUGCACGUCUUGACGGUACCUAAUCAGAAAGCCACGGCUAACUACGUG
rnacentral:rRNA from 1 species